CAUGCAGUCGAACGGCAGCGCGGGAGCAAUCCUGGCGGCGAGUGGCGAACGGGUGAGUCAUACAUCGGAACGUGCCCAAUCGUGGGGGAUAACGCAGCGAAAGCUGUGCUAAUACCGCAUACGAUCUACGGAUGAAAGCAGGGGAUCGCAAGACCUUGCGCGAAUGGAGCGGCCGAUGGCAGAUUAGGUAGUUGGUGAGGUAAAGGCUCACCAAGCCUUCGAUCUGUAGCUGGUCUGAGAGGACGACCAGCCACACUGGGACUGAGACACGGCCCAAACUCCUACGGGAGGCAGCAGUGGGGAAUUUUGGACAAUGGGCGAAAGCCUGAUCCAGCCAUGCCGCGUGCAGGAUGAAGGCCUUCGGGUUGUAAACUGCUUUUGUACGGAACGAAACGGCCUUUUCUAAUAAAGAGGGCUAAUGACGGUACCGUAAGAAUAAGCACCGGCUAACUACGUGCCAGCAGCCGCGGUAAUACGUAGGGUGCAAGCGUUAAUCGGAAUUACUGGGCGUAAAGCGUGCGCAGGCGGUUAUGUAAGACAGUUGUGAAAUCCCCGGGCUCAA
rnacentral:rRNA from 1 species